rnacentral:rRNA from 1 species
UACGUAGGGCGCAAGCGUUGUCCGGAAUUAUUGGGCGUAAAGAGCUCGUAGGCGGUUUGUCGCGUCUGCUGUGAAAACCUAAGGCUCAACCUUGGGCUUGCAGUGGGUACGGGCAGACUAGAGUGCGGUAGGGGUGACUGGAAUUCCUGGUGUAGCGGUGGAAUGCGCAGAUAUCAGGAGGAACACCGAUGGCGAAGGCAGGUCACUGGGCCGCAACUGACGCUGAGGCACGAAAGCGUGGGGAGCGAACAGG